rnacentral:rRNA from 1 species
UACGUAGGAGGCAAGCGUUGUCCGGAAUUACUGGGCGUAAAGCGCGUGUAGGUGGUGGGACAAGUCUGCUGUGAAAGCGCCUGGCUUAACCGGGCGAGGUCGGCGGAAACUGUCCGACUCGAGGACGGUAGAGGGGGGUGGAAUUCCCGGUGUAGUGGUGAAAUGCGUAGAGAUCGGGAGGAACACCUGUGGCGAAGGCGGCCCCCUGGGCCGGAACUGACACUGAGACGCGAAGGCGUGGGGAGCGAACGGG